rnacentral:rRNA from 14 species
GAGAGCUCGUAGGUGGCCGCGGACCCUGCGCUGUGUUUGAAGAUCGUGGCAUGGCGUCGCAUCACCUGGGAUAGGCAACUGGCGCGCUUGAGAUGUUCGCAGCCUUCAAAAGUCACAAGUUCCAAAACCUGGCGGUCCAAGCCUGAGGGCCCCGAGAUCCUUCGGGCCUCCGGCCCCAAGAGCUUCCUUGGUGAGGGCGGCGAUGCUGUCCGGUCGACCGAUGACGUUGAGGCAUGCAAGCGUGGCGACCAAAUGG